rnacentral:pre_miRNA from 1 species
UUUUUUUAAAAUGAUGACAUGGACACCAAAAUCUUACAAGAAUAAUGGUUAAUGUUGUGAGUGAGCAUAAAAUUUGGGAUGUGAAUAUGUGUUUCUUGGGUUAAUUGGUGUCAUGGCAUACCUAGAGUGAUAAAGACCUAAUUUUUUUGUAAGUUUUUGGUGUCCAUGUCAUCAUUUAAUGGAUA